rnacentral:lncRNA from 1 species
GAACUUCUGUUUUGAUGGAUGUGGCAAGCGGCUUGCUUUUCCUGAGAUCAGAUCAUCUCCUGUGGGGGAGAUCAGGCUUCUCCAGGGCCAGCUGGGAGAGCACGGCGGGGGGGGGGGGGGACGGGAGGGCUGCGCAGGCGCCUUUAGGAAGCAGCUUAGGACCUGGUUUUGAAUCCCGGCCGGGGGGGGGGGGGGGCCUCUGGGGACAUGGCCCCACUUCCUCCCUCUGCUCCAGGACUCAGCACGCACAGGCUGUUGGAAAGUUUCAGAAAAAGAGCACCAGCCCUCAGUGGGCGUAUUCCCGGGAGAAGCCCAAGGGCUGGCUCCCAAGAAAUGCCCCCGCCUCUCUCCUGGGUCUUCCUGGCAAGCCCCUCUCUGCACCCUUUGGCAGUCUGAUGGAAGAAGCUGAUGGAUGGAUGGGAAGUUGUCUCAUCCUCCACCCAACCUUUCCCUUCCUCCCCCGCCCCCCACUCCCCUCCUGGCUCCAGGGAGCUGUGAAGCUCUUCCUGAUGAGGACUCUUGGCACGGAGACCCUGGCACUCACUCCUGUGGCAUGGGCCCCAAGGGAUGGCCCUUCCUGGCUGGCCCCGCCGCACCUGGUCAGCAGUGAACCCGGACCCAGGACGCCCUUGCCUGCGGGAAGAAGUGCUGAGUCGCCCUGGGCUGAUUCAUUGCUGCAGUACCCAGAGGGCUUUGCCCUGAGGCUGACUUCCAGAUGCAGGUGAGGGACAGCGUAGACGCGGCUGCGGCCCUGGCUUCUGUUCACCACUCAGCGCGGAGGGUGGUGGUGGUGGUGGGAGCAGGUGGAGGCCAAAGGCAAGACCCUUUCUCCCAAUCAAGAGGGGAAGCCGGUACUCCAGAUGGGAAGGGAGACUGUGCCGCCGACUUCCAGCGGCAGGCUCCCUGGCCCCGGGAGAGGAAGCUCCCAGGAAGAGAGUGGGAGGCGCCAGGCCUCUGUGCAGCCAGAGCCGGCGACGCCGGGUGGAAGGGAAACCUCACUGCGGCGUGGCCCUCUCGGCCAGGGCGGAUCGCAGGGUGGCUUCAUCACCAC